AUGUCUCUUCACAUGAUGCCGUUGGUGCUGCUCUUCUCGUUGCUGUUCCCAAGCUCCCAUGCUCUGCCGGGGUCACCACCUUCUCCUCCGGGCCCGGCUGCCGAGGAGCUCGCGCUUCUCGCCUUCAAGUCCAUGCUGACCUCUGACGGUGGUUCGCCGGCGCUGGCAUCGUGGAACACGUCGAGCCACUUCUGCCUCUGGCCAGGCGUGGCAUGCAGCCGCGAGAAGGUGGUCGCGCUGCGCCUCGGCUCGUCCAACCUCUCCGGCCGCAUCUCGCCGCACCUGGGCAAUCUGUCCGGCCUCGCGGAGCUGGACCUCGGUGGAAACCAGCUUGUCGGUGACAUACCACCGGAGCUUGGCCGUCUCGGCCGUCUCCGCUCCCUCAACCUGAGCGCCAACUUGCUCACCGGAGCCAUCCCCGCGGCCAUUGCGGCGGGGUGCACCAACCUCACCUCGCUCAUCCUGGGCAGGAACAGCCUCCGAGGUACGAUCCCCGCCCAGAUCGGCACCACCUUGAGAAAGCUCACCCUGCUGGACCUUUGCCGAAACAACCUCACGGGGCACAUCCCUCCGUCACUGGCGGAGCUGCGCUCCAUGCAGGUUCUGUCUCUGUGCUUCAACAACCUGUCCGGCGAGAUCCCAGCCGCGCUGGGAAACCUCACCAGCAUCCAGGAGCUAGGCCUCCAUCACAAUGGCCUGUCCGGAGCAAUCCCGUCGUCUCUCGGGCUGCCGGGCGGCAUGUCGUUUUUCAACCUCCAGUUCAACCAGUUAACCGGGGCGAUCCCUACCUCCAUUUGGAACCUCUCGUCUCUCGUUCUGUUCUCCGUCAUGUAUAACAGGCUAAGCGGCAGGAUGCCUCCCGACGCAUUCGCCGCCAUGCCCCAUCUCCACCAGAUCCAAAUCAACAACAACCAGUUCCAUGGCCCUUUCCCGGUGUCCAUAGCAAAUGCUUCCAACAUUUCUCUAGUUCAGCUCGACAGCAACCUUUUCGCCGGCAUCAUUCCCCGUGAUAUCGGCAGGUUAAGAAAUCUCAGCAUUCUACUUCUCGGCAACAAUCUGUUUGAAGCUCAUGAGCCAAGAGAUUGGGGAUUCAUAACCGAAUUAACUAAUUGCUCCCAGUUAGGACUGCUGGGAUUGGAUGGUAAUAAGUUUGGAGGUGUUCUUCCAGAUUCACUCUCCAACCUUUCCACGUCACUGUAUGAUCUUCAACUCGGGUCCAACAAGAUCACAGGAAACAUUCCAGAGGGUAUUAGUAACCUCAUCAACUUACAAAAGCUCGACAUGUCGCACAACUUCUUCACGGGAAGUCUCCCCUCUUCAUUGGGAAGGCUUCCAAAAUUGGCCAGUUUCUAUGUCAUUGCAAAUAAGUUGGCCGGGCCGGUCCCGUCGGCCAUAGGAAAUCUUACUGAACUAUCUGAUUUGCGGCUCGACAUGAACGCGUUCAGUGGUAGAAUACCAAGCACACUUGGAAACCUGGCAAAGCUCUCCUCACUAGGUCUUUCAGCAAAUAGUUUCAUUGGUCCCAUACCCAGCACAUUAUUCAGCAUCCAAACACUCUCGAUGGUACUUGAUGUGUCACACAAUAAUAUAGAGGGAUCCAUACCACAAGAAAUCGGGAACCUGCAAAAUUUAGCAGAAUUGCAUCUAGAGUCAAACAAAUUAUCUGGUGAAAUCCCCACCACCGUUGGAGAGUGUCGAUUUCUAAAAAGUCUUUAUCUGCAAAACAACUCCCUGAAUGGUAGCAUCCCAUCAACCCUGAAUCAACUGAAGGAUCUUGAAACUCUUGACCUGUCAAGCAACAACUUGUCAGGCCAGAUACCCAAGUUCCUUGGCAACAUCAGCAUGCUCCAGUAUCUGAACCUUUCCCUUAACCGGUUUGUCGGAGAAGUGCCGACCUUUGGUGUCUUCGCAAAUGCUACUUCAAUCUCAAUCGAAGGCAACGUUGAACUUUGUGGUGGAAUACCUACUCUGCAUUUGCUUCCCUGUUCUUCUCAAAUAGCACACAGGAAACACAAACUUUUAGCGGUUCCUAUUGUUCUAUCUCUCAUUGCAACACUAGUCGUGCUUGUAACACUGUACAAGCUUAGCAUGCGGCACAAGAAAAAUAGAAGACAAACCCUUUCACCUACAUCCAUGAAAAGCCAUCCAAAGCUAUCUUAUUCACAGCUGGUAAAUGCAACAGAUGGGUUUUCAGCAGCCAACUUUUUGGGUUCUGGAUCGUUUGGGAUUGUGUACAAGGGAGAGCUAUAUGACCAAGUAGGCAAUAGAACAAUUGUCGCUGUGAAGGUACUGAAACUUCAAACUCCCAAGGCACUCAAGAGUUUCGCCGCCGAAUGUGAAGCACUUAGAAACAUCCGGCACCGAAAUAUUGUCAAGAUAGUCACGAUCUGCUCAACCUUUGAUACUAGAGGGCAUGGUUUCAAAGCAAUUGUUUAUGAAUUCAUGUCCAAUGGUAGCCUAGCUGGGUGGCUACAUCCCGAGCAAACAGAGCCGAAGCAACUGAACCUGUGUGUUAGAGUGACCAUACUACUUGAUGUGGCUUGUGCGCUGGAUUAUCUUAGCUAUCAAGGAGACUUCUUUGUACAUUGUGAUGUUAAGCCAAGUAAUGUGCUCCUAGAUGCUGAGAUGGUAGCCCACGUUGGAGAUUUUGGACUUGCAAGCCAAUGCUGGGAAUUUUCUGUCGAGGAGAACUCAUCUCUCGAACUGUCAAAGAGCUCGAUGGGACUUACAGGAGCAAUAAACUCAUCUUUCCAACAGUCAACGAGCACGAUGGGGUUUAGGGGAACAAUUGGUUAUGCUGCACCAGAAUAUGGGGCUGGAAACAAGGUGUCAACAAACGGAGACAUUUACAGUUACGGGAUUCUUGUUCUAGAAACUGUAACUGGGAAGAGGCCCACAGACCUCAUAUUCAGACAAAGACUGAGGCUCCGUGAAUACGUUGAGCAAGCUCUGGGUCAUAGCAUGAUGGAUGUUAUCGACAAGCGGCUCCAAGAUGAGCUCCAGACCGCGGAUGAUAUUUCAAGGAAGAAAAAGAUGGAUUGUCUGACAUCGCUGCUCGAACUGGGAAUGUGGUGCUCUGACGAAACACCGACGCGCAGAAUGCUAACUGGAGAUAUCGUCAGGCAAUUGGAGGCCAUCAAAGAAUCCCUUUCUUAG
rnacentral:rRNA from 1 species